rnacentral:rRNA from 1 species
CGGGACGGGUGAGUAAUGUCUGGGAAACUGCCUGAUGGAGGGGGAUAACUACUGGAAACGGUAGCUAAUACGCAUAACGUCGCAAGACCAAAGAGGGGGACCGUUCGGGCCUCUUGCCAUCGGAUGUGCCCAGAUGGGAUUAGCUAGUAGGUGGGGUAACGGCUCACCUAGGCGACGAUCCCUAGCUGGUCUGAGAGGAUGACCAGCCACACUGGAACUGAGACACGGUCCAG